GUUUGGUUCCGGGCGAGAAAGUGGCGCGUUUUACGCCGUUGGCAGGACCACAGCUCGCACAGCUGACACUCAAACCACACUAUGAGCCACAGUGUGUCUCUACACCAUCUGUUACACUAUUGGGCAGCCGUAACUGUCUUCCUCUCUGCCCAUAUUAAAAAGGGUCCUCAUUGUGACACAGAGACAGCAUGCACGGCUUCAUCAGACAGCAAGCAACACUUCUUUUGACUCCAUUUCUUGAAAAUUUUACUACCUCAACAAGCAAGGCAGGUGCCACAGGCCUCACAUACCAAGGAAGCUCAGAGCUGGAAGUUUGAGGCCUACUUCCUGGCCCUACCUGGGCCAUUGCUGGGAGCCUAAGAUGUCCAUCUUCUGGCAGACUCGCAAAGAAAAUGUCCACCCAAAUGGAAUAUGCCAAGAGUUUGAAUUCCAAAUGGUGCUCAGAUUAUGUAGAUGACUCUACCAUUGCCAAAUCAAGAGGGAAAGCUAAUCGUAUUGAAACUCAUAGUUGUGACUUCCUCUCAAAAAUUCUACUUGAACCUUAGAGAAACUGCAUCAAGAGCAUCAACAUUUAUUUCUCACACUAAAUGUUUUUGGGAUGUUGUUUUUCAUGGAUUAGUGCCAGCUUUGUGCAGAAGACCCACAUGCUCAAGAAUUGGAUUCAUUUGGCAGCCAGAGGCUAAGUAUAUUUAUCUUUUAGUUUGAAGUAGAUUCAAGUAUAGGUCACGGGAAUUUAUUAAUCUCUGAAUCAUUCAAUCUCUAUAGUCUAUCAUUUUGAACUAUCCUUCAAGAACAGAUAAAUUUAUAUUUGCAAGCUUUACAAAGUGGUGGCUGAUAUUUUUAGCUUCUCUCAAUCCCUUGAGGUUUGUGUCAGCCCUAGAUCACUAAUUUUGAUAUGAAUUCAAGUUUGGGCUGCUAGGGGAUCCUUUGCAAGGGGUGAAAUUUAAACUAUGUGCUGGUCUGUACUCUUAGCUGCAAAAAAAUUACUUAAGGUCCGAAGGAUAAUUGUUAACAUAAAUUGAGAAACAAUGCAGUCACAUGAAUUGCAGCGUCAAAGUUUAGCUGUAAAUUGAUAAUUUAGAGCCAUCUGUUGUGCAUGUUCAGCAGUUUCUUGUACCUUUCAAAUCAAAGUGAAAUUCUAUUAGAGCUUAUGGUGUUUAGUAAUUUGUAAGCAGUGUCUCAUGUGCUCUGCUAGUCCAUGGCUAUUAUAUAUCCUCUCUAACGUUUAUGCCCUUGUUUCCUUUUGCAGCUUUCUCCAUUUCUUUUGUGAUUAAUCCAAUAACUGAUGUUCUGAAUUCAAAGGUUGUGUGACUAUUUGAUACAAGGGGAUGUGCACUAUUUUUAUCAAUAUAUGGUCUAACAGGUUAAACACUUUAUCUGCAUGCCCAGUGUGCAAGAUAUGAAAUGUAUAAAUGUACAGUCGCAUUGAUAUCUGCACUCCAAUCUCAUUGAAACCUACAAAACUUUAAUGGGACUGGGCAACCUAGAAACAGUAAGGAUGUUUCCAUUAGCAGGAGAGCCCAGGACCAGGAGUCACAGUCUAAGGAUAAGGGGUAAGCCAUUUAAUAUUGAGAUGAGGAGAGCGGUGAAUGUCUGGAAUUCUCAACUACAGAGAGCAGUUGAAGCCAAAACAAUAAAUCUAUUCAAAAAGAUCUAGGGCUAGAGAGAUCAAGGGAUAUAGGGAGAAAACAGGAACAGGGUGCUGAAUUUAGAUGAUAUUGAAUGUGGAGCAGUGUCAAGGGGUUGUCUAUCAUUCUCCUGCUCCUAUUUUUCUGUUUUUUUUAUAUAAUUGUAUGUUUGCAGAAAUUCUCAACUGUAGUUUAACUACUAACUGUUUGAAGAGUGCACAGCAUGGAUAAUAAGCCAGAAGUCGAUGAUAGAUAAAUAGAGUUGAGUCAGCUAAAAUGAGAUUCACAACCUAGAUUUACAAUGCAUUGCAUGAUUAUGUAAUGCUACAUUCCAUUUCUUGCACAUUACACGUCCUCCCCAGGUUACGAAUGCCUGACUUGUGUACAGCUUGUAUAUACGAAUGAGCAAUAGGGAGACCCGCGGGAUGGAUUUGCUGGCUGCAGGCAUCUUCUGGCAUGAAUGAAACAAACCAGUCCUUUAUUUCAUACAGAGCACAGACAUUACAAAGUAUGGAUAAUAGUUUUCCUGAAAGAACAAUAUCAUUGCAUCUUGCAGAAAAAUCUGAAUGGUUGAGUUAAACACCAUAGUUUAACUACAUGUUGCCAUUGGUUGGCCUCUGAUUUUAUUUAACUAUAUUGCCAGGCAGCUGCAUUUCUGAUUUACAAACUGUUCGGGUUACAAAUAUUUCUCAGGAACAGAACCAUGUCGUAACCAGGGGAGGAUCUGUCUAUGUGCAGAUAAAAUGACAUGCGAAACAUACAUAGAUAAAAAUUCCUUCGUACUGAAUGGUCACACAUCAAUUGGAUUCAGAAUACCAGACAUUGGAUACAGUUACAUAAUAUUUAAAUGUGGUUUUAAAAAUUAUGAGAAUUUUAAGAGAAGGAUAGUUAAGUAUUAAGCAGAAAAGGAAUGGAGUAUUAUGCUUAUAGUAUGAGAUAAACUAUGAUAUAAUGACAUAAAUAAGCCUGUACUCAGGUUUGGGCUGGAAGUGAUUUAUUUGGUGCCGGGGUGGUAGUGAAAGCGGAUACAAUAGUGGCAUUCAGGAGGUUUUCAGACAGGCACAUGAAAAUGCAGGGAAUGGAAGAAUAUGGAUCAGGUGCAGGCAAAAGGGAUUAGUUUAAUUUGGCAUUAUGCUUGGCACAGACACCUUGUGCUGAAGGGCCUGUUCCUGUACUGUACUGUUCUAUGUCCUUUCAGGAACUCAGGACAUUCCAAGGUAAUUUAAUGAUUUUUGAAUUAUCACCUCUAUAGUCAUAAUAAUAAUAUAGAAAAUGUAGCAGCCGUAUCACACAUAGCCUGACAUCACAAAUAGCAAUGUUGUUAUGGUCAGAUGGGGAAUGAGAGAUAAGUAUUGGCUAGAAAGUGGAGAAACAUUCUCUGUUCAUCCUCAAACUAUCAUCCAGGAUCUUUUAUCUCCAUUUGAAAGGAUAGAAGGUGGAUUAUUUAUUGUGUCACCCAAAAGCCCAUGUAGCACUCCCUCAGUAUGAUCCUGCAGCAUCAGGGUAGAAUCCAUGCUCAAUGUGUUAAAUAUAGACAUCUUCUGAAUAAAAGUUGCAGCUUAUCAGUAUUUGAUAAAAAUAUGUAACAAUACAUAAAGGAGAAGGGCUGAAGGUACCAGAGGUACAAGUGAAGAUUCAGCAAAAAGUAAAUUAAGAUAGGUGGAAGUAAAUGAAGCAUUUGAGUGAUCUAAAGCUCAUCAAGGUGACAGUGUAUCACUUAGAUGCCCUCAUAUGUCCCACAGUAAAAACAGCAAUGGAUAAGAGUAGAACACUCUUUACAAAAAUUUAAAUCUGCUUUCCAAAACCUACGUGAUAGUUAUCAUGGUCAUUUAUCGUAAAAUGUAAUAUAGAGAAACACUGAUUAUCCACUACUUGAUUGUUUAGAAAUCCCAAUUGUUCGGUGUCUGGCUUACUCAUUAGUACACUAAGUCUUUGCUCUCUGCAGGAUCUACUAUUCUGUGAAUCCGUGUACCAGCAGGAUCAGCUGUGUAAACUGGGUGUGUGGGCCGGGUGUGCAGCUGGAGCUGGGGUUGAAGAUGGAAACACCAACAUGCAAACUGAAACUUACAAACUGGAAACUCACCAAGUUUGAUUUCCCACUCCCCUUAAACUCAUUGGGUCCCCUAGAAAAUGUAUUAUGCUACUGCGUAACAUGUAACAAGUGAAAUAAAUGUGUUGGAGCAAUAGGAAUAGCAUCCAAUAGUCCAAAAAAUCUGAUAGUCCAGCAGACCAAAAUCCUGAAAAUGCUGGAUUAUCAGAGAUCUACUGUGUAUUAUAGCUACUUUACUGUCAGUUCCUUUUAUUAAAGAAUUGCCUCAGUUGUAACCUUACUAACAUGUGCAGGUUGAAACAGCAUGGUCCAACCACAACUAAUGGAGUCAUGAUUGCAACAGUAAAAUAUCCUGAGCACUCUCUCACCCACAUUUCUAGUUUUGGGUGGAAAACAAUAAGACAGCCCUUUUAAAAGGCAGGUGGCACAGUGGCACAGCAGACAGAGCAGCUGCCUUACAGCUCCAGCAACCCAAGUUCGACCCUGGUCUCUGGUGCUGUCAGUAUGGAGUUUGCAUGUUCUUUCUGUGACUGCAUGGUUUCCUCUGAAUACUCAGGUUUUCUCUCAUCGCCCAAAGAUGUACUGGUUAGUAGACUAAUUAGCUUUUGCAAAUUAUCUGUGGUGCAGACGGGUGGAGUUUUUGAAGAAUCAGUGUGCCAUUGAUGGAUAUGUGAGAGAAAAUAGUUUCCAGAGAAAUAAACGGGGGAAUGCGAUUGAUUGGAUUGUUCUGAAUGGUAGCAUAGACUCGAUGAACCAAGUGGUCUCCUUCUAUGUCUUAAGAGAAUAUGAAAAAUGCCAACUUUCUGAACAGCUUAUCAGAAAGUUGGAGCUGAGUACUAUUAAUUCAUCUCUUUUGUGUGCUUGUGAGAGCUAAACAGCACUAAACUAUCGAGAUAUUUAGUACACCAUGGGGAGCAGCAAAACCUUCUAAGCCCAAUCAGUCACUUAUAAUGAUCACUGUGAUCCCUUGGCUGAAUCAGUCAUAACAGGAUUCUCCUCUCUCUUUAUAUAACACAAGCAUUCUGUCUGUUAACAUUAUCAAUCACCCUUCUCUCUGGAACUCCUAAUUAUUUUCAUGAAUGUGGCACUCCACAACAUUGUAAGGGAGAAAAUGGCAGCUGAGCCAUAAAAGGAGACAUUAAGUGAGGACCGAGUUGUUUUGUAGUCUAUAGACUCACCUGUACCAGUGCCCACCUCAUUGGCCCCCCAUGUUAUGACCUUUGUUCACUCGAUCUCCUCCAAAAAUUCUGUUACGCAUAUGGUUCUGAAUCAUUUGGUAAUCUUCAUUUGAUUGUACAACUUAGUCCUGAUUAGUUAGAGCCAAUGGUAUCACAAAGAAUCCUCAAUGCUUCAAAUAGGAUGAAUGGGUGUUGCAAUGUUAACUGGAUUUGUUUCAUUCUACUGUUGUUAUCUAAAA